GCGAAAGCAGGAUUACAUAAAUGUAGAGCUGCAUCAACUAAUAGAAGAAAAAUUGAUUAUCGAUUAGUCGGGUCUGCCCACAGUGCAUGUACAACUGCAGCCAGUUGAAUCAAAUUACAGCACUGAUUAACACAUUUCUAUGGACAAAAUGCAUCUACAAAAAUUGGAGGAAACAAAAUGAGCUCCUGCAGGAAAAAUACAUGUGUGGGUCCUUGGUGCAAAGAACUUCUGACUAACGGUCAUAUCCUUAUCUGUAAAUGUCACAAAUUCAUGCAAGUCUUUCCAUUUUUGCAUAAAGGUCCACCCUGACAGUCUGCGUUAAGUUGAAAUCUUACAGGAAGAGCACCGACACGGCACGCACAAUAAACAUACGGAGGAGCACAGAGAGACAAUAUUCAGCGCAAAAAUUCAUUGUGCUGAAAUAUGUUGUUUAACAUUUUAUAUUUAGGUUUAAAAGUCAACAUGCAGUGUGAGCAAUUUAUGAGAGUAAUAUAGAAACAAUACCAGGCAGAGGUCAGGGCAGGCAGCAGAGAAACAAUAGAGGCGGUAUAACCAAUCCAAAAUCAGAAGAAACAAACACCAGGAAAACACUAGGAAAUGUCAGACUGGGCUGAACAACACUUUGAUAUAACUGAGGAAAUGGAGUUCAGACCCCAAAUGCAAUAGUCCUGAGUGGAGUGACCCCUACUGGAGUUCAUGGGCAUUCCAGCUGACAAUUGUGACAGUAACCUUUUUAGUAACAGUAGUAAGCUAUUUUAAUGCUAUAAUAGAAUUAUUGCUGUUUUCUGUGAAAGGCAGAAAAAAAAUUGCCAAGUGCUUUUUAUGGUGUUUUUAUUUUUUUAUUAUUCCGAUAUCCAAUUAGUCAAAAAGCACAAACCGUACCAGCAAGCAUGUGAGCUGUUAUCAAAGGCAAAGGAGGCCAUUUUUGUUAUUAUGUGAAUAAAUACUAUUUAGUCGUUUCA